rnacentral:rRNA from 1 species
AUUGAACGCUGGCGGCAUGCUUUACACAUGCAAGUCGAACGGUAACAGGCCGCAAGGUGCUGACGAGUGGCGGACGGGUGAGUAAUGCAUCGGAACGUGCCCAGUCGUGGGGGAUAACUACUAGAAAGAGUAGCUAAUACCGCAUACGAUCUAUGGAUGAAAGCGGGGGACCGUAAGGCCUCGCGCGAUUGGAGCGGCCGAUGUCAGAUUAGGUAGUUGGUGGGGUAAAGGCUCACCAAGCCAACGAUCUGUAGCUGGUCUGAGAGGACGACCAGCCACACUGGGACUGAGACACGGCCCAGACUCCUACGGGAGGCAGCAGUGGGGAAUUUUGGACAAUGGGCGCAAGCCUGAUCCAGCAAUGCCGCGUGCAGGAAGAAGGCCUUCGGGUUGUAAACUGCUUUUGUACGGAACGAAACGGCUCUGGUUAAUACCCGGGGCUAAUGACGGUACCGUAAGAAUAAGCACCGGCUAACUACGUG